rnacentral:rRNA from 1 species
UUUUUAUGAGAGUUUGAUCCUGGCUCAGGACGAACGCUGGCGGCGUGCCUAAUACAUGCAAGUCGAACGCUUCUUUUUCCACCGGAGCUUGCUCCACCGGAAAAAGAGG